UGCCAAACUUGCUGCGUCUUGCAAUUGUGUGCGAUGCAUAUGAUGGAGAAAUGUUGCACUUCCAAGUUGGGUUUAAGAAGUUGAACAAACUAUAUCUUGUGCAGUUGAAUAACUUGAAUUCCAUUUUAAUAGACAACGGAACUUUACCUGCCCUUAAACUAAUUGAAAUGGUGUCUAUUCCCAAACUAAGUGAGAUUCCCUCUGAUUUUCAUCUACUAAAGAGCCUUGAAACUCUGCGUUUGGUUAAUAUGCCUUAUGAGUUCAACCAAAGCAUUGAUCCAAAUGGUGGACCGAAGAACUGGGUCAUUGAACAUGUGAAAAUGGUAACUGUUGUAGAGAAGGUUGGUUCAAAUUCUGUAGAAUUCAGCUAUCGCACUAUUCGUCAUCCAAGGAGUACAUGAAUCAGAAGUUGAAAGGUAUCAUUUUCGUCUAAUUAUAUAGCAUAUUUGUAUGUAGUAUAAUACUUUAUAAUUAUCAAGGCAAAGUUUGUCUUCUAUAUUGCAAUUUUUCAUGAGUUUUUGGCGAAGCCACAUGUUUAUAAAAUUCUUCUGUAAAGUAGAAUCAUUCAUAUAUGUAACUCCCUCUCGUUUUGAUUUUGCUCCAUAUAUAUUUGUAGGCUUCUCAAUGUGGAUGGAACUUGGAAGUUUCAGAUUCUCAAUAUUUUACAGUUUCUUCAUUCAUUCAUAUUUUUGGUGCGCUUUUCAAUCCCCAAAUAAAGUGAAUUCCGGGGGCCAUACUGCUGCAAAAGCAGAUUAUAGAUGAACUUUGUGAUUUUCUUUGAUAUUUACAAUGUAAUCUGGGAGAUUUUCUUUAUGGCUUGUUGUAUGCCAAUUGUGUUUAUGUUUAUGAAGAAAAUUGAGUCUCGGUACCUUGUGUUUAAUUCUGCUUAAAUAUUAAUUUGACAAUCUUCAAUGGGCUACGCAAAUCCCUCGAGAUUACUCUCGCUUGGAUAUGAAUCAUAAAACAUUACAGUGUGACUGAAAGAACAUCUUAAAUUUACAAGCACAUCAACACAUUGAUUUGCCUCUCGCUACGCAUGACUGACCUUCACUUCCUGAUUUAAAUCCAUUAAUCGACAGAUCUACGUAACCAAAGAGUGCCCCAUGCAGCUCCCUGUCCACCCUUGCCUACUGUUUGAGAAGUUUAUUACUUAUGAGAGUGUUCAGGGUAAUUUAUAAGCUUAUGUUGGAAGAUUGGUUGAAUAUGAGAAUGCAUUGAAUAUUAGUUUGGUUUCACCAAUAAAGGAACAUAUACUCUAGUGCCCUUCUCCUUCAUAAGCUUAUAAAUACACCGAUUUGCCUUUACUUGGAGCACAUGUUGCUUACCCGCUUAAUUUGAUUUAUAUCUUGCAGGAAGUAGUUUGUGACACUUUAGUGCUCCCAAAUAGUGAAAGCACAAGCAUUCCUUGUAUGCUAGCUGAAAUAAUCAACAUUCUGCUGGUGUGAAAGCUAGUGCAAGGACCAAUAGUGAAGCAGAUUCUAUGGCCUUUGUACCGAGUUCCUUUGGCUCAAUAACAUUUAGGAAUAACGAAAGUUUAGAAGAACUAGAAAAUGCUUUAUUAGAGAAUGAUAAACCACAAGACGGUAAAGAUUUUCCAGAACUUAGAACACCAUCAUGGUUUUUGCAUAAAACAUCCACUAUAGGACAAUAAGUAAUUAUAUUAGGUGGUUCACCUCUAUCAUCCAUUUCAUCAACAAGUUCCAUAGCAUAUGAUAAUCUCCCGGAUUUGCACAAACCAUCAAUAAGGGUAUGGUAAGUUACCACGUCAGGAAAUAUUUGUUUGAGAGGCAUUUCUUCAAAGAGUUUGAUGGCUUCAUCCACCAUUUUCAUUUUACAAAAUUCAUUAAUCAUGAUAUUGUAGCUACGAACGUCAUAAGACAAUUCCCUUUCAGCCAUAGUUUUGAAUAUACUUUGGGCCUUGAACACUUCAUUAACAAGGCAAUAUCCAUUCAUUAAAGAGCUAUAAGCAACAACAUCGGAUUUUAAAUCUUUUUCCAUCAUCGUAUUGAGCACAUUUUUAGCUUCUUCUAUCUUUCCUUCCUUACAAAAGGCAUCUACCAAUCCAUUAAAAGUAUACACAUUCGGGUUAAUGUUUUCCGAUAUCAUUUUUUUAAACAAACCCAACGCUUCUUCCAAUUUACCAACAACGCAAAAACCAUCAAUUAAAGCAGUAUAAGUGACAACAUUAGGAGAAAUUCCGCUAGCAACCAUUUCAUAAUAUAAAUCAAAAGCAUCAUUAACAAAUGUAUCUUUGCACAUAUUGUCAAUAACCGUAGUGUACAUUACCACAUCAGGUUCAAAAGCUUGUCGCAGCAAUUGUAAAGCUGCUCUUGUAUCUCCUCCAACUUUACAUAAACCAUUGAUUAACGUCCCAUAACUAUAAUGGUCUACGUCAAAUCCCCGGGCUACCACCACCUUGUAGUGAAAAUUCAAUGCUCGCUGGAUAUCACCUGUUUGACAUAUACCCUUUAUGGGUGUAGUAAGUGGCGGAGCUGGAAAUAAUUUUGAGGGUGAGUCAAUUGUUUUAAUAGAUGUAAAUUUAUAUUUGUUUUCACGAAAGGUGUAAAUUUAUAUGUUUUUAUUAAUUAAUUCGAAUGACUAUUAAUUUUUUUUUCAUAGAACAUUAUUUAAACCAAUGUUUUAAGAGUAUUUUAACAUAAAUAUUAUAUAAUUUUACUUUAUUACACAUGUACUUUUAAUUGGAAAAAAAAAAUGUGUUUUUUUUAUUGGUGAGCAAUAUAGCAUUAUAUAUAUAAUAAUCAAAAUCAAGUUAAACCAUAGUUGUUGUCCUACUGGAUAAGAUCUUGUUGAUGUUAGCAGGCAAGCAAGAGUCGAACUGCGAACAAGAAACUGCAAAACACCUCCCCUAAACCAUUACACCGCACUUUUGAUCUAAUAUAUCUAACGCAACAUAUUAUAUAUAUAUCUUCUUAUAUAUUAAAGUUAACAAGUAAGCCCUAAUUUUAACCUAAAUCCUAUUGCAUAAUUUUACUGUUUUAACCCUAAUGUUCACACCUAAUCUCCUAUUUUCAUGAACAAUCCUAUUGCUCUCACCUANNNNNNNNNNNNNNNNNNNNNNNNNNNNNNNNNNNNNNNNNNNNNNNNNNNNNNNNNNNNNNNNNNNNNNNNNNNNNNNNNNNNNNNNNNNNNNNNNNNNAGCUUACAAAGUUGCGUCAUCUUUUAGUUUACAACAGAAGAGCACAUUUAAGAAUUAGUGGUGAAAGUGGGGUGAGAAUAAUUCAAGGUGUUGGAAGCAUGACAGUGUUGCAAAAACUUUAUCAUGUGGAGGUAGACCAUGGUGGGUUAGAACUAAUUGCAGAGUUAAAAAAGCUUAAACAAUUAAGGAAGUUGGGAUUAAAGAAUGUAAAGAGAGAAUAUGGAAAUGCUCUUUGUGAGUCAAUAGAGGAAAUGAAAUGCCUUGAAUCACUUCAUAUUAGUGCAAUAAAUGAAAAUGAAGUCAUAGACUUGCAAUUUAUUUCAUCUCUACCUCAACUUAGACAACUUCACUUGUUCGGUCGUUUAGAAAAGCUUCCAAAUUGGGUUCCAAGACUUGAACAACUUGUUAGACUGUCGAUUCGCUUUUCCAAGUUGAAGGACGAUCCUUUAAAGUUACUCAAAGAUUUGCCAAACUUGCUGCGUCUUGCAAUUGUGUGCGAUGCAUAUGAUGGAGAAAUGUUGCACUUCCAAGUUGGGUUUAAGAAGUUGAACAAACUAUAUCUUGUGCAGUUGAAUAACUUGAAUUCCAUUUUAAUAGACAACGGAACUUUACCUGCCCUUAAACUAAUUGAAAUGGUGUCUAUUCCCAAACUAAGUGAGAUUCCCUCUGAUUUUCAUCUACUAAAGAGCCUUGAAACUCUGCGUUUGGUUAAUAUGCCUUAUGAGUUCAACCAAAGCAUUGAUCCAAAUGGUGGACCGAAG
rnacentral:lncRNA from 1 species